GAAAAAGUCCAGCUCCAUCUUUCUUUUUCAAGUGGUUGUUGAUGAGAAUGUGGCAAGCUCCUCUUUCAGAGCAUCACAUGCACAUUUCCUCUGUAACGUGGGAAUGGCCUCAUUUCCAGUUUGACUGAAAGAAAUUUUGUCCAUCCUCCAAGAAAAUGGUCAAAUACAUUCCUUCCUUAAACAGGAAAUUGAGACUGCCUGAGGCUGCGGACAUCAACGUGAUCUGAUUGUACUUGCAGCAGAAGCCACAUUAAAAUGAGCAGUUACAUAAAAUCAAAACAAACUUGGAAGAGCUAAAGGGUUUCUCUUUUCAGACAACUUUCUGAAGAAGGAUUUGACUAUGAAAAUAUUGAACUUCCUUGGAAAAGUUUGGAUUCCUGAGAGCAGGAGGGUGUCAGCUGUGGUGGAUGUGUGUCCCCUCUGUCAGGGUGCAGCUGUGUUAACAAGGGAAAACAAA
rnacentral:lncRNA from 1 species